rnacentral:misc_RNA from 1 species
GGAGGGGGGGAGGGAGAGGGAGAGUGCCUCGCCUUGUAGGAGAGAGAAAAUUAUCCAAUGUGGAUUAGAGAAGAGUUAUUUAAUUAAUAGACAUCCAAUUCAGCAUGGCCAAACCAUUAUUUUGUCGGAGCUUUCACUGGAAUCAAGUGAUAGUGACUUUGGUGUUCAUUUAAUUAAUGUUUGGGGAGAUUUGUGAUAUAAAUUCAAGAUGAGAGACUGCAACGUUUCAACCUCCUAAGUUGAGGGAUGGUGAAAUUAAGCUGUAUUUUAGAUUCACAAGAAGUUGAGUACCUCUUGAAUUCUCUACAACUCUCUAUGUAACUAUGAUAAGGAAUUUGGACUUGUAAGUACUUAUUUUCUUAUUUCCACAUAGCUAUCUUACUGAACUGAUGGCAUUGGAAUUGGUUUCAUCCAAAACAUAGAUUUUUGUUGGCCAAUAUAGUGUGUAGCACAAACACCUUGAUUAAGAGCACCUUUUUUAAUGAGGUUGGCUGGAGUUAUUCAUCAUCAGACAAGGUUCGCUCUGUUAUUUUCGGCGAUAUGAAUGCUUAAAUGGCAAUUAUGCUUUGAAGGCUUGAAGCUGAUGCUGUUAUGCAUCGCAUCAGUGAUUAAUAUCGUUUUGUAUAUUUGUUAUGUAAAUUUUUUGUUAGAAAUUUGAGAAAGGAAGAGCAUCAGCACGAAAGCAAUGAGGAAAGUAUGAUAAAAGUUGAUGAGGUAAAAUAUGUGAGCAGUCCUCUAAAAGCUGUCAACUCAUUCAAGUAUGAUGGAAUCCCCUCUAAACUGUUAAUCUGCUAAAAUUCUAAUGUCUAUCUGAUUUACACAUGAUGUGAAACCAUUUCUCCAAUGAGGUGCCUAUAAGCUACCUGUCUGUUUUUUUCUCCAAGGAGGUAUAAGCUACCUGUCUGUUUUAGGAAAGUUAAAAACCACUUUUGUAGAUCACAUAUUAUGAGAGCUGUACUGACCAAUUAAAGUUGAAUUAGCCAUUGGCAAUACCCUUCAUCAAAGAGUCUUAACAAUGAAUGAGAAUAAUUUAGAAAAUUUUGUGAUGCAGCUAGAGUGCAUGUAACCUUGGUGUGCCUAACUUUAUAAUUGAGUGGUGCUAGAUUGUCCUGCAGAAUGAGGUGCAAAUUCCUGUUUGUAGAAGGGUAUGGAUCCUUUCCCUGUGCAUUUUAUAGUUUGAUGGAUGGAUAUAUAGAGUUGUGAAAUUUGAUGUUGGUAUCUUUAUUGUUUUCAUCUUUUAAGUCAGUGAUACAAGUAAACAUGUUGUAAUGAAGUAUUGACUAAUUGUAUGUGUUUAGAGAUUUGUUAAUAGAAUCGGAAAGCAUUAUUUCAUGAAUUCUCUUUUUUGUUUUUUUACCUUAGUAAAUUGCCUUCCCCACAAAAUGGUACUCUUCUCUGUGAUGGACUUGUAAUGUUUCUAUUGUCAAAUACAAGGACUUGACCAGACAUUAUUUUUGUUGACCAUGUGUGUUUCAUGCUAGUAACCUAGUGUCACCCUUUGUUUCUGUUCUCUGCUUCAAGUAGAUUUAACCAAAUUGCGACAGUUGGUGUUUGAUUUUCUCACUUAUGAUUUUUAUUUGUUCAUUAAUUCCUAUUCGUUCAACAUGACAGGCUUGGUUGAGUGGAUUUGGGCAUUCAAGGGAAGACUUGAAUCAGUAUGUCAAAUCCCAUUUAUUCUUCAAGAUUGAAGCUUUCUGGUUAUCAUUGGGCACACAACUGCUGGUGCAGUUCCAUGAUCCAUUUGGUGUUUCGCAUGGGUGUUAUAUUUGAAUUUCAUGUACAUGUUAGAAUAUAUGCAUGAACAGAUUUCUUUCAUUUUGUAAGACUAUUUUGUUCAACUACUUCAUGCGAGCUGAAU